rnacentral:rRNA from 1 species
CCAGACUCCUACGGGAGGCAGCAGUGAGGAAUAUUGGUCAAUGGGCGGGAGCCUGAACCAGCCAAGCCGCGUGAAGGAAGAAGGCGCCAAGCGUCGUAAACUUCUUUUGUCGGGGAACAAAGGGCGCCACGUGUGGCGUUGUGAGUGUACCCGAAGAAAAAGCAUCGGCUAACUCCGUGCCAGCAGCCGCGGUAAUACGUAGGUGGCGAGCGUUAUCCGGAAUGAUUGGGCGUAAAGGGUGCGCAGGCGGUCCUGCAAGUCUGGAGUGAAACGCAUGAGCUCAACUCAUGCAUGGCUGUGGAAACUGGAGGACUGGAGAGCAGGAGAGGGCGGUGGAACUCCAUGUGUAGCGGUAAAAUGCGUAGAUAUAUGGAAGAACACCAGUGGCGGAGGCGGCCGCCUGGCCUGUUGCUGACGCUGAGGCACGAAAGCGUGGGGAGCAAAUAGGAUUAGAUACCCGGAUAGAG